rnacentral:rRNA from 1 species
GAUAAACGCUGGCGGCGUGCCUUAUGCAUGCAAGUCGAACGGUCCUUCCCGCAAGGGAAGGAUAGUGGCGAACGGGUGAGUAACGCGUAAGUAACCUGCCCCCAAGUAGGGAAUAACUCUGAGAAAUUAGAGCUAAUACCAUAGUGGUCCUUCACUGUAAAGGGAAGGACUAAAGCUUUAGGGCGCUUAGGGAGGGGCUUGCGUCCGAUUAGCUAGUUGGUAGGGUAAUGGUCUACCAAGGCGAUGAUCGGUAGCUGGUUUGAGAGGACAUCCAGCCACACUGGGAUUGAGAUACGGCCCAGACUCCUACGGGAGGCAGCAGCAAGGAAUUUUGUGCAAUGGGCGAAAGCCUGACACAGCGACGCCGUGUGGGGGAUGAAGGCCUUCGGGUUGUAAACCCCUUUUCUCAGGGAAGAAUAAUGACGGUACCUGAGGAAUAAGUCGUGGCUAACUACGUGCCAGCAGCCGCGGUAACACGUAGGCGGCAAGCGUUAUCCGGAUUUAUUGGGCGUAAAGAGGGCGUAGGCGGUUUUUCAAGUCGAUUGUAAGAUCUCCCGGCUUAACUGGGAGGGGCCAGUCGAUACUGUUAGACUAGAGGGCAGCAGGGGGAGGUGGAAUUCCCGGUGUAGUGGUGAAAUGUGUAGAUAUCGGGAGGAACACCAGUGGCGAAGGCGGCCUCCUAGGCUGUUUCUAACGCUGAGGCCCGAAAGCGUGGUGAGCAAACAGGAUCAGAUACCCUGGUAGUCCACGCUGUAAUCGAUGGACACUAGGUAUAGGGAGUAUCGACCCUCUCUGUGCCGAAGCUAACGCAUUAAGUGUCCCGCCUGGGGAGACGGCCGCAAGGCU